AUAAAAUGAUCAACCAAUUCCUAUUUCUAGAUUCAUAAAAGAGAAAACAUGGCUAAAGUUUAUAUAUUUAUUUAUGCUAUGAUUAUUGUUUUUUCCAUAUUUAUUUCUAUAACAAACUGCAGUAAGUAAUUUUUAUCAACGCUUCUAAAUUUGGUGAACGGUCAUACUUGAGAGUUUAGUUUGAUUCUGGCAUAUCAAUAUGCGAAAAAACUGAGCAAUGCCAUGAUUUUAUCUGUCUCCAUCCUGAAAUUCCAUAUUGCAACUUCAAUAUUCAGAAUCCAAUAAAGUACAUCUUGGGAAUGGGGAUUUGUGAAUGUAUAAAACCUUAAUAGGGGCUUAUGAAUGUGUGAAGAAACUGUAAAAUGAUUUCUUUCAAAAUAAUGUUUCAAGAACGUUUUGGAGUCA